AGUGAACGCUGGCGGUAGGCCUAACACAUGCAAGUCGAACGGCAGCACAGUAAGAGCUUGCUCUUACGGGUGGCGAGUGGCGGACGGGUGAGGAAUACAUCGGAAUCUACUUUUUCGUGGGGGAUAACGUAGGGAAACUUACGCUAAUACCGCAUACGACCUACGGGUGAAAGCAGGGGAUCUUCGGACCUUGCGCGAUUGAAUGAGCCGAUGUCGGAUUAGCUAGUUGGCGGGGUAAAGGCCCACCAAGGCGAGGAUCCGUAGCUGGUCUGAGAGGAUGAUCAGCCACACUGGAACUGAGACACGGUCCAGACUCCUACGGGAGGCAGCAGUGUGGAAUAUUGGACAAUGGGCGCAAGCCUGAUCCAGCCAGACCGCGUGGGUGAAGAAGGCCUUCGGGUUGCAAAGCCCUUUUGUUGGGAAAGAAAAGCAGCAGGUUAAUACCCCGCUGUUCUGACGGUACCCAAAGAAUAAGCACCGGCUAACUUCGUG
rnacentral:rRNA from 1 species